GAUGAACGCUGGCGGCGUGCCUAAUACAUGCAAGUCGAGCGAAUGGAUUAAGAGCUUGCUCUUAUGAAGUUAGCGGCGGACGGGUGAAUAACACGUGGGUAACCCGCCCAUAAGACUGGGAUAACUCCGGGAAACCGGGGCUAAUACCGGAUAACAUUUUGAACCGCAUGGUUCGAAAUUGAAAGGCGGCUUCGGCUGUCACUUAUGGAUGGACCCGCGUCGCAUUAGCUAGUUGGUGAGGUAACGGCUCACCAAGGCAACGAUGCGUAGCCGACCUGAGAGGGUGAUCGGCCACACUGGGACUGAGACACGGCCCAGACUCCUACGGGAGGCAGCAGUAGGGAAUCUUCCGCAAUGGACGAAAGUCUGACGGAGCAACGCCGCGUGAGUGAUGAAGGCUUUCGGGUCGUAAAACUCUGUUGUUAGGGAAGAACAAGUGCUAGUUGAAUAAGCUGGCACCUUGACGGUACCUAACCAGAAAGCCACGGCUAACUACGUGCCAGCCGCCGCGGUAA
rnacentral:rRNA from 1 species